GAUGAACGCUAGCGGCAGGCCUAAUACAUGCAAGUCGAACGGGAUCUGAGGGUAGCUUGCUACCCGAUUUGAGAGUGGCGCACGGGUGCGUAACGCGUGAGCAACCCACCCAUAUCAGGGGGAUAGCCCGAAGAAAUUCGGAUUAACACCGCAUAAUAAUACGCUAACACAUGUUGAUGUAUUUAAAUAUUUAUAGGAUAUGGAUGGGCUCGCGUGACAUUAGCUAGUUGGUAAGGUAACGGCUUACCAAGGCGACGAUGUCUAGGGGCUCUGAGAGGAGAAUCCCCCACACUGGUACUGAGACACGGACCAGACUCCUACGGGAGGCAGCAGUAAGGAAUAUUGGUCAAUGGGCGCAAGCCUGAACCAGCCAUGCCGCGUGCAGGAUGACUGCCCUAUGGGUUGUAAACUGCUUUUGUUAGGGAAUAAACCUUCUUACGUGUAAGGAGCUGAAUGUACCUAAAGAAUAAGGAUCGGCUAACUCCGUGCCAGCAGCCGCCGCAG
rnacentral:rRNA from 1 species